GGGUUGUGAGGUUAAGCGACUAAGCGUACACGGUGGAUGCCCUGGCAGUCAGAGGCGAUGAAGGGCGUGCUAAUCUGCGAUAAGCGCCGGUAAGGUGAUAUGAACCGUUAUAACCGGCGAUACCCGAAUGGGGAAACCCAGUGUGACUCGUCACACUAUCAUUAACUGAAUCCAUAGGUUAAUGAGGCGAACCGGGGGAACUGAAACAUCUAAGUACCCCGAGGAAAAGAAAUCAACCGAGAUUCCCCCAGUAGCGGCGAGCGAACGGGGAGGAGCCCAGAGCCUGAAUCAGCAUGUGUGUUAGUGGAAGCGUCUGGAAAGGCGCGCGAUACAGGGUGACAGCCCCGUACACAAAAGCGCAUGUGCUGUGAGCUCGAUGAGUAGGGCGGGACACGUGGUAUCCUGUCUGAAUAUGGGGGGACCAUCCUCCAAGGCUAAAUACUCCUGACUGACCGAUAGUGAACCAGUACCGUGAGGGAAAGGCGAAAAGAACCCCGGCGAGGGGAGUGAAAAAGAACCUGAAACCGUGUACGUACAAGCAGUGGGAGCCCCACCACCAAAGCAUUUGCUGUACCGCGUUGACGGAGCGAAGCGACGUCAAACCGAUAAAACAGCAGUGUAAAGUGAGCCGCAGGGCGCUUUGCGCGACAGCGCA
rnacentral:rRNA from 1 species